rnacentral:lncRNA from 1 species
AUAGUGUAACCUAUGUGUUUGAAUAUUAAACACAUGAAUACGCGAUUACAGUACUCGCAUCUAAAAACUCUCUCUGGCACGAUUUUCGAGAAUCUAUUAUGGGUAAAAGUUUUUGAAAAGGAGAUCUAAACCUUCAUCUUUUGCCAAAAACAGCAAAGUCUCAACCACUUUUCUUUUCCCAAAAUAGCAAAUUCCGACCAAAACUAGCUUUAGAGAGCAAACUCCGAUGGUUUUUCACAAGAGAGUCCGGCGUGGGAGACGCCCCUCAUCCCUGUGAACACUUGCACCACAAGAAUCACGACUCAGAUUAACCACCAGAGAAUGAGGAGACUUGUAGCUGCAUACCAAGCACUUAUGACCAACUCUGCUCUCUCCUCCUCAAAGGUACAAAUCGAACUCUGCAUUUAUGGUUAAAUUUGGUCAACCUCUAUUAAAUACUAUAUGUGAAGAACCUUGAAAGCGUUAAAAGACUUGCCUUGUCUGCUAGCUAUUGAAAACCUCUCACCUUAUGUGAAGAACCUUGUUAAACUCGUUAUCUACUGGAAAGAAGGUCCUACAUCACUACAAACAUGAGCUCUCGUAUACCCUACUCUGCAAAAGGGAAAGGUGUUGCUCACUACUACAAAGAGACACCUAACUACCGUCGACAGUACCCAACAAGAACUUACCAUGAGAGAAGUAGCUCACAACAAAGCCAAAGAAGUGGUACAGAAAGAGUACAUGACUUCUCUGCUCCUCCACUUAAAAGAAUCAAAGCUCCUGAACUGGACAACUAUGACCUAAUAAAAGAAAAUGAGCUUACAUUCAUGGGGAGGCUCACAAACCCAUCUGCUCAAAGGUUAUGGUCACUCAUACCGUACCUGUCAAACCGCUGGAAUCUAAAAGGCAAAGCAACUGGGUCAGAUCUUGGAAAUGGAUGCUUUCAGUUCAGGUUUGAAUUUGAAGAGGACUUAGCAAAAGUCCUGGAUAAUAGGCCUUACCAUUUUGACCAAUGGAUGGUCAUACUACAAAAAGGGGAACCGGUGAUCUCGGCCUCCUUCCCUUCACAGAUUCCAUUUUGGAUUCAACUACAGGGACUCCCUAUGCACUUCUGGAAGAAGCAAAUGAUCUACAAGAUAGGAGAAGAACUUGGAUUAGUCCUAGAUCAUGAAAUCACCCCAGCAGCUGCAAGAAUUAAAGUGCAAAUUGAUGGUCUGGCUCCUCUGACAAAGCAAACAGUGGUGGAGUUUUCUG